rnacentral:rRNA from 1 species
UACGAAGGGGGCUAGCGUUGCUCGGAAUCACUGGGCGUAAAGGGUGCGUAGGCGGGUUUUUAAGUCAGAGGUGAAAUCCUGGAGCUCAACUCCAGAACUGCCUUUGAUACUGAAAGUCUUGAGUAUGGGAGAGGUGAGUGGAACUGCGAGUGUAGAGGUGAAAUUCGUAGAUAUUCGCAAGAACACCAGUGGCGAAGGCGGCUGACUGGUCCGGUUCUGACGCUGAGGCGCGAAAGCGUGGGGAGCAAACAGG